rnacentral:rRNA from 1 species
UUCGCAAUGCCCGAAAGGGUGACGGAGCGACGCCGCGUGGACGACGAAGGCCCUCGGGUUGUAAAGUCCUGUCAGGUGGGAAGAACAGCUUGGAGGUGAAUAACCUUCAAGCCUGACGUUACCAUCAGAGGAAGCACCAGCAAACUUCGUGCCAGCAGCUGCGGUAACACGAAGGGUGCGAGCGUUGUUCGGAAUCACUGGGCUUAAAGGGCACGUAGACGGGGAGAUAAAUCAGAAGUGAAAGCCCGGCGCUCAACGUCGGAAUUGCUUUUGAAAAUGUCUCUCUCGAGUUCAGGAGGGGAGAGCGGAACUCUUGGUGGAGCGGUGAAAUGCGUAGAUAUCAAGGGGAACGCCGGCGGCGAAAGCGGCUCUCUGGCCUGAUACUGACGCUGAGGUGCGAAAGCUAGGGGAGCAAAAAGGAUUAGAUACCCUUGUAGUCCUAGCCGUAAACGAUGGGCACUAAGUAGAGGGGUUUU